AGAAGAAGGUGCACUUGCCUCAAAGGGUUUCUGCCAGGCACAGUUCAUCCUUUUGACCUUUCUCUUCCUAUAAAUAAGUCAAGUAGAGAGGGGUUUGUGUUAAGUGCGUGAAUAAGUCAAUUUUCCACGGACAUAAAAUCAGGCAUUUCAGUACAUUUUCUCCGCAGUUUUGAAAUUCUAGGAGAAGAAUUGGGUUUAUUUUUGGAUAACAGAAACUUUGAUACCCUGCUUCGUAACCCAGGAAAAGUGACGUUUUGCUUAGAAACUCUUUUGCGUAAACUUGGCACGUAUGAAUUGCAUAGAAGUUGGAAAAUUUGGAAUUAAAAUGGGCUCAACGCAAGAAAACGAUUAUAAUUGUUCCACCUGCUCAACUAAGAAGCAAUUAAGCAAUCACAUUUUAACGCACGACCCAGGAGCGAAGUUGAAAUGUCAGGUGUGUGGGAAAGUUUCGAAAAGCUCAAAAGCCUUGUCAAGACACGUGUCAAUGUAUCACGCCAACCGGGAACGACCAAGUUGCGACAUUUGUCUCCGUGUAUUUUCCACGGCAAAACAUUUACGGACGCACAUUGCUACCGUUCACAGCACGCUGAAACGACCAUCGUUUUCCAUGCGGGUUUCCUGAUUGUGACAAAUCCUAUCUGUCGAAACGCCAUGUUUCGAAACACGUUAAAACUGAACACACCGAGAAUCCGACCCGAUUUCCGUGCACACUUUGCGGUAAAGAAUUCAAGACCAGAGAAAAUCUUUCCACCCACACGACGGAGAAGGCCUUCAUUUGUUCCACUUGUGGGAGGAGGUUUGCACAUUCAUCCAGCUUAAAAAGACAUGAGGUCACGCAUUUAGAAAAUUCUACCCGUAGGAUUUUCAAGUGUGAACUUUGUCCUCAAAUGUCCUUAUCUAAGGCUGACUUACAAAGGCAUGUGCAAGCUGUGCAUGAAAAUCUGAGGAAUCAUAGGUGCACAUUUUGCGACAAAAUGUUCUCGAGAUCAUCCCACUUGAGACAACACGUGGAGGCGAGACAUCCCACGAGUUCGGAGAAGAUUCAUUCCUGCGACAAAUGCGGGUAUAAGAGCCACUCGAAAAGAAAUUUAGACCGGCACGUAUUGAGGCACAAUAAUACGCAUCGACGAGAAUGCUACUUCUGCAAGGAGCAGAUUUCCUCCUUUUCGAAUUUGGUGACACACUGUCGUCGUCAUACUCUCGAACUGUGAGAAAGGAGAGGAUUUAUUGUUAUUUUAAUAUU